GAUGAACGCUGGCGGCGUGCCUAAUACAUGCAAGUCGAGCGAACAGACGAGGAGCUUGCUCCUCUGACGUUAGCGGCGGACGGGUGAGUAAUACGUGGAUAACCUACUUAUAAGACUUGGAUAACUUCGGGAAACCGGAGCUAAUACCGCAUAAUAUAUUGAACCUCUUGGAUCAAUAGUGAAAGACGGUUUUGCUGUCACUUAUAGAUGGAUUCGCGCCGCAUUAGCUAGUUGGUAAGGUAACGGCUUACCAAGGCAGCGAUGCGUAGCCGACCUGAGAGGGUGGUCGGCCACACUGGAACUAAGGCACGGUCCAGACUCCUACGAGAGGCGGCAGUAGGGAAUCUUCCGGAAUGGGCGGAGGCCGGACGAAGCAACGCCGCGUGGGUGAUGAAGGUCUUCGGAUCGUAAAACUCUGUUAUUGGGGAAGAACAAAUGUGUAAGUAACUAUGCACGUCUUGACGGUACCUAAACAGGAAGCCACGGCUAACUACGUG
rnacentral:rRNA from 1 species